rnacentral:rRNA from 1 species
GAUGAACGCUAGCGGCAGGCUUAAUACAUGCAAGUCGAGGGGCAACAGGGGUAGCAAUACCUGCUGGCGACCGGCAAACGGGUGUGGAACACGUACAGAACCUUCCUUUAAGCGGGGGAUAGCCCGGAGAAAUCCGGAUUAAUACCCCAUAGUAUUGUUGGUUGGCAUCAAUUGGCAAUUAAAGAUUUAUCACUUAGAGAUGGCUAGUGCGGCUGAUUAGGUAGUUGGUUGGGGAAAGGUCCCACCAAGCCAUCGA